AUGGCCAAGCUCGCCUCCAUCCUGACUCUCAUCGCGCUGCUCGGCUGCGCGGCGCGUACCUGCCAAGCAGAUUACGGGAAUCCCACCCCUGUUCCGUCCGUACCGAGCAUAACUAGUCCCCCGCCGCCAUACACCCCGACUACACCUAGUCCUCCUCCACCAUACACCCCGAGCACACCUAGUCCUCCACCGCCCACCCCAGCUACCCCAAGUCCUCCACCACCAUACACCCCGACUACACCUAGUCCUCCACCGCCCACCCCAGCUACCCCAAGUCCUCCGCCGCCAUACACCCCGAGCACACCUAGCCCUCCACUGCCGACCCCUAGCCCACCGACCAAAGGACUCGCGGUCGGCUACUAUCAGAAGUCAUGCCCUCGCGCGGAAGACAUUGUGAGGGAAGUUGUGCGUGAUGCCAACGCCGGUAUCAUGGCUGGACUCAUCCGUCUCUUCUUCCAUGACUGCUUCGUCAGGGGUUGCGAUGCCUCCGUGCUUCUCGAUCAAGUAGACCCCAACAGCCCACCAGAGAAGUUGGGCGUCCCGAACCUGAGCCUGCGUGGCUUCGAGGUGAUUGAUGCCGCCAAGGCUAGAAUCGAGAAGGAGUGUGGGAGCGACGUAGUCUCAUGCGCUGAUGUCCUGGCCUUCGCUGGGCGUGAUGCCACCUACUUCCUUAGCAACAAGAAGGUCUACUUCAACAUGACAGCUGGCCGUUAUGAUGGACGUGUGUCUUUCAUGAAUGAAACACUCCCCAACCUGCCACCACCCUUCGGCACCGUGGACCAGCUCAAGGCCAACUUCGCCUCCAAGGGGCUGACUGCCGACGAGAUGGUUACACUCUCUGGUGCACACACCGUCGGAAUCUCCCAUUGCUCGUCCUUCAACUCAUCCUUCUCUGACCGCCUCAACCCAAGCACCUCCGACAUGGACCCCACACUAAUGAGCUCUCUCCGGGAGCAAUGCAAGUCAGACAAUGGGACCGACAACACGGUGGUGCAGGACAUCGAGACCCCUAACAAGGUCGACAACAAGUACUAUAAGAAUGUGCUUAGCCACAAGGUGCUCUUUGAUUCAGAUGCCGCGCUCAUGACGGCAGAUGAUACAAGUGCAGCGGUGCGUGCCAAUGCCAAGGACAACGAUGUGUGGGAGGAGAAGUUCAAGGAAGCCAUGGUAAGGAUGGGCGCUAUCGAAGUCAAGACCAGGGACGAUUUUUUCAAUGGUGCCGCUGUUGAGAUCAGGAGGAAUUGUCGCAUCGUCAACUCAUACUAA
rnacentral:rRNA from 1 species